AUUGAACGCUGGCGGCAUGCCUUACACAUGCAAGUCGAACGGCAGCACGGGAGCAAUCCUGGUGGCGAGUGGCGAACGGGUGAGUAAUAUAUCGGAACGUGCCCAGUCGUGGGGGAUAACGUAGCGAAAGCUACGCUAAUACCGCAUACGAUCUAUGGAUGAAANCGGGGGACCGCAAGACCUCGCGCGAUUGGAGCGGCCGAUAUCAGAUUAGGUAGUUGGUGAGGUAAAGGCUCACCAAGCCGACGAUCUGUAGCUGGUCUGAGAGGACGACCAGCCACACUGGGACUGAGACACGGCCCAGACUCCUACGGGAGGCAGCAGUGGGGAAUUUUGGACAAUGGGCGCAAGCCUGAUCCAGCAAUGCCGCGUGCAGGAUGAAGGCCUUCGGGUUGUAAACUGCUUUUGUACGGAACGAAACGGUGAGCUCUAAUACAGUUUGCUAAUGACGGUACCGUAAGAAUAAGCACCGGCUAACUACGUG
rnacentral:rRNA from 1 species